rnacentral:lncRNA from 1 species
GGGGGGGGGGGGGCCUUGGGACAGAUUUUGCUUGGCCAAAAAUCUGUCCAAAAUGAUAGAUUUUUUGACCAAACAUCUGUCCAAAACCAGAUUUCUGUCCAAUGAACAGUUGUUCCCAACAAAUAUGGACAGAAUUUUCGAGCAUUGUGCUCCAAAACAAUCUGCAACAGUAAAAGCAACCAAAGAAAGGACCUUACACUCAAGUAUUCUCUUUCUUUCCCUUUUUCAAAGCAAAUUCUAUGUUUAAACAAAACACAUGACUCGUAUUACUCAAAUCUUACUAAAAUACACUCAUAACUGUUGAAGUGAUAAUAUACUAAGUCUUUCAACACAAACUAUCAUCAAGCAUUAAACCUAUAUAUUAUCGCUUCAUUAGAAUAAAUGAACUCGUGUCUUGAAAAUAUCAAUGACUCAACUAAACAAUUUAACCAUUUCAGAAUGAAUCAAGAUCACGGAUGCCUUUGAACGAUGAUCAAUUAACACAAAUAAACAAGCUAACAGAACUUCAUAUAACCUGUAUUAAUCAAUUAACAAAAGAACUAACAAACGAAACUAAAAGCUAAUCAAUCUAACUGUCAAACAAUGGUCCUCAACUAACAUGAAACAAACCAACUACAACCUGACAAUCCCCAAAUCAAAACACGAUUUGAAUCUAGCAAAUAUAAUCUAGUUAAACAUUAAAAGAUAAAGCGAGGUAAACUAACAAAACUAAUCAUGCUUCCCAAGAUAUGCCAAUCAAAACGGAUAACACGAUCAAUACAAACAAGACUAAACAAAUGCAUAUUAACUAAAAGACUUAAAAUUUGAAAUGAAAUACAUAAUUCAAACUAAUAUAAAUGAGUCGAAACCAACGCUUAAAACUACCUGUAAAUGAUAUAAACGAUAUUGAAGAAAACCUAAAACUAAUUGAAAUGGAAUACUACACAAUUAAGUGAGAUUAAAACAAGACGUAAACUAAAAUAUGCUCCUAGUCUUAAUAACGAACCAAAAAGAAAAAAAAUAAAGAAAAAGGAAUAAUGUUAUACCAAAACAAGGGAAGCCGAAGCCAAAGACAACAAGCUCUUAUGCUAUGGACUAACAAGCGAUUCACACUAACAUUACAAUAGUUUAGUUAACCUAUAAAUACUACUAACAAAAUUAUAAAGAUUAAACCUUAAAAUUAAAUCUGAAGCACAAGCUGAAAAUCAGAAACGAGAAAGGGGAGACAGAUUGAAGAUUUACCGACAACUCGAUAUUUGAAGCACAAGAUGAAAAUCAGAAACGGGAAAGGGGAGACAGAUUGAAGAUUUAUCGACAACUCGAGCACACAGGCAGUGGUGAGACAAAGGCAGCGAUGGUGGUGAUUCAACCCGGGCAUGAUUUUAUUGUUGAUUUAUACCAAAAUACUAAAUACAGUGAGUUGAAUCUCGAUUUCGGUAUAAUUGACAAUAAAAUCAUGUCCGAGUCGAUUGGAGGCAAGAACGGAAGAGCGUUGGAGGUAGCGGCGGCGAGCAGUGGGGGUUGCCGGAAUUCCGGUCGCCGAAUUUUUGGGUUAAGACCAAUGCCAAAUGGUAGCUCUUGUCGAGCUCUAUCUAUGUAUGUAAACAUUAGGUGGAAAGGGUGGCUCAAUCAUCCUGAAUUUGUGAAAAAAACGGCGGCAAGGGUUUCCUAAGAUCUAAAACUCGUGGGUUUUGAGGGGUUUUUAGUGAAUUUAGCUCGGAGAUUCGGAAAGAAGGGGUUAAGGAGAGCAUAGAGUAAAAAAUGGGGCCAAUUGGACCACCACCGGCGGUGGCCCACGGUGGUGGCAGUGAUGGAGCGGCGGUGGCUUUGAGAGAGGGUGAGAGAGAGAUGGAGGAGGCUAGGGUUUGUAACAUGUGAUAAAUGGCCAAAAAUCUGAUUUAAAAGGGGUUAGAUACCUUAUUGAAGAUUCAAUCAGGACCGUUGGACUACAUCGUUUGGACCCUUCCCUUGUCAGCCCCUUGUGGACCGG